rnacentral:lncRNA from 1 species
UACAAGUAAAUAUUACCUCAUUUUACUAUUAAAUUCUUAGUACCAAAUAUAAAAAAUUAUUUGUACAUCUAUUAUUAUAUAAGACAACUUGGGUAUAACACACAACUGACAAAGAAAUCUUUUGAUUGACUGCGAAGAAGUGAACUCAAGGAAUGUGGAGAAUAUGAAAACAAAAGAACAUAGAAACAAGGAAACAUGGGAUCAUGUAAACAUGAGAUCAAGAGAACAUAGAAACGUAGAAAAAUGGGAACAAGAGAAUAUAAAACAUGGGAACAAGGGAACAUGGAAAUUAAGGAAUAUGGAAAACAUGGAAAACAUGAGAACAUGGGAACAAGGAAACAAGGGAAUAUGGGAAUCAAGGAAUAAGGGAGCAUAUAUGAAUGAAAACGUGGAUGGAUGUGCCAGAUGUUGCAAUGUCUGACAACACAAUUUUCUACUAGUAUAUAAAUACAUACGAGUCUAUUGAUAUAUAAAUGAAUUUAAAAAUGUUUAUAUAUUAAUAUUAAUAUUUAUGCACAUACAUAUACACGCAAAUACACCCAUGUAGAGACCCAUGUCCUUUUAUUAAUCCGCUCAUUCACAUGCACAUUCAUCCCAAAAUACAUCAUCCACCUACUCAUUGCUCACCACUUCACCCAUCCAUUCAUCCAUCCAUACAUUCAUUCAUAUGCACAUCCACUCACAUACACAUCCAUCCAACUGGCCUAUCGCUCACCACCCACCCAUCAGUUCAUCCCACAUUUAAUACAUCCAUUUUGUACUUAAUCCAUC